rnacentral:rRNA from 1 species
UUACUGGGCGUAAAGCGUGCGUAGGCGGUUUAUUAAGUCAGAUGUGAAAGCCCCGGGCUUAACCUGGGAACUGCAUUUGAAACUGGUAAACUAGAGUAUGGUAGAGGAAAGUGGAAUUUCUGGUGUAGCGGUGAAAUGCGUAGAUAUCAGAAGGAACAUCAAUGGCGAAGGCAGCUUUCUGGACCAAUACUGACGCUGAGGUACGAAAGCGUGGGUAGCAAACAGGAUUAGAUACCCUGGUAGUCCACGCCGUAAACGAUGAUAACUAGCCGUUGGGGGGAUUUACCCUUUAGUGGCGGAGCUAACGCGUUAAGUUAUCCGCCUGGGGAGUACGGCCGCAAGGUUAAAACUCAAAGGAAUUGACGGGGACCCGCACAAGCGGUGGAGCAUGUGGUUUAAUUCGAUGCAACGCGAAGAACCUUACCUGGUCUUGACAUCCUGCGAACUUUCUAGAAAUAGAUUGGUGCCUUCGGGUACGCAGUGACAGGUGCUGCAUGGCUGUCGUCAGCUCGUGUCGUGAGAUGUUGGGUUAAGUCCCGUAACGAGCGCAACCCCUAUCCUUAUUUGCCAGCACAUUAUGGUGGGAACUAUAAGGAGACUGCCGGUGAUAAACCGGAGGAAGGCGGGGACGACGUCAAGUCAUCAUGGCCCUUACGACCAGGGCUACACACGUGCUACAAUGGGAUGGACAAAGAGUCGCGAAGCCGCGAGGUGUAGCUAAUCUCACAAACCUUCUCGUAGUCCGGAUUGGAGUCUGCAACUCGACUCCAUGAAGUCGGAAUCGCUAGUAAUCGUAGAUCAGAAUGCUACGGUGAAUACGUUCCCGGGUCUUGUACACACCGCCCGUCAUACCAUGGGAGUGGGUUGCACCAGAAGUGGCUAGUCUAACUUAGUGAGGACGGUCACCACGGUGUGAUUCAUGACUGGGGUAAAGUCGUA